AUUGAACGCUGGCGGCAGGCUUAACACAUGCAAGUCGAGCGGGGUGAUGGUGCUUGCACUAUCACUUAGCGGCGGACGGGUGAGUAAUGCUUAGGAAUCUGCCUAUUAGUGGGGGACAACAUGUCUAAAGGGAUGCUAAUACCGCAUACGUCCUACGGGAGAAAGCAGGGGAUCACUUGUGACCUUGCCCUAAUAGAGGAGCCUAAGUCGGAUUAGCUAGUUGGUGGGGUAAAGGCCUACCAAGGCGACGAUCUGUAGCGGGCCUGAGAGGAUGAUCCGCCACACUGGGACUGAGACACGGCCCAGACUCCUACGGGAGGCAGCAGUGGGGAAUAUUGGACAAUGGGGGGAACCCUGAUCCAGCCAUGCCGCGUGUGUGAAGAAGGCCUUAUGGUUGUAAAGCACUUUAAGCGAGGAGGAGGCUCUUUUGGUUAAUACCCAAGAUGAGUGGACGUUACUCGCAGAAUAAGCACCGGCUAACUCUGUGCCAGCCGCCGCAGUAA
rnacentral:rRNA from 1 species